rnacentral:rRNA from 1 species
CCUACGGGUGACAGCAGUCGAGAAUCAUUCACAAUGGGGGAAACCCUGAUGGUGCGACGCCGCGUGGGGGAAUGAAGGUCUUCGGAUUGUAAACCCCUGUCAUGUGGGAGCAAAUUAAAAAGAUAGUACCACAAGAGGAAGAGACGGCUAACUCGGUGUCAGCAGCCGCGGUAAUACCGAGGGCUCAAGCGUUGUUCGGAAUCACUGGGGGUAAAGCGUGCGUUGGGUGUUUCGUAAAUCGAGUGUGAAAGGCGCGGGCUCAACCCGCGGACGGCACAUGAUACUGCGAGACUAGAGUGAAAGAGGAGGAAGCGGAAUUCUCGGUGUAGCAGUGAAAUGCGUAGAUAUCGAGAGGAACACUCGUGGCGAAGGCGGGUUCCUGGACAUUAACUGACGCUGAAGCACGAAGGCCAGGGGAGCGAAAGGGAUUAGAUACCCGGGUAGUC